UACGUAGGAUGCAAGCGUUGUCCGGAUUAUUGGGUUUAAAGGGUGCGUAGGCGGUCUAUUAAGUCAGUGCUGAAAUAUCCCGGCUUAACCGGGAGGGUGGCAUUGAUACUGAUGGACUUGAGUAAAGUUGAGGUUGGCGGAAUUGACGGUGUAGCGGUGAAAUGCUUAGAUAUCGUCAAGAACACCUAUUGCGAAGGCAGCUAACUAGCUUAAACUGACGCUGAGGCACGAAAGUGUGGGGAUCAAACAGG
rnacentral:rRNA from 1 species